UCCUCUUUGGCUCUGGGAAUUUCUCCUCCCACGUGGAGGCCCCCACAGCAGUGGACACCACCCAGCCAGGCCCACCUGACCGGUCAGGCUCAAACCCUCUGGUACCCGCCCCACCCAUAGGACCAGGUGUAAACCAGGCAGCGACACCCCAGACGUGUGGUCUUGGUCAGCUCCCCUGGGCUCCUCUCCCUCCAGCUGGCCCUUCUCUGCCCAGGAAACAGUUUUCUGAAGAGUUCUCCGUUCUCGAGCCUUCCAGCUGCGUGGGAGAGAGUUGACCCCAAGGCUGGGACCACAAGAGGCCAGGGAGGGUGGGCCUGGGAUCUGCAGCUCACGGGCUGUGUGACUGUGGGCACGAGAUUUCAUUUCCUGAUUCAUAAAGGUGGGGACCGAUCAAAGCUACUCCUUGGACCUUUGUGAAGAUUAAAUGAGUUCAACACGGAGCAUUCUUGACCCAUGGGCCAUCCCCAGAUGAGGCUGCAGCAUUGCCCCGUGUGCUCUCAGCUGGUGCCAGUGUUGUCUGGAACUGUCUGGACCUACCUGGAAACUGAGUAUUUCUCUGAAGAAGUCUGCAGCCCUUUGGCAGCGUGGCUGCAGAUGGAAGGAAGGAAACAGUUCGCCCUGGAGAAUGGCUAGGCAGCACCUCUGAGCCGAGCAUCCCACCCGCUCUGACUGGCCCACAAUCGUGGGGCCAGUGGUAUCUCAGAGCCCUUCUGUAAGGAGACCUACAGGGUUUUGUCACUUACAGUGAUUGCCAUGGUCUGAAUGCUUGUGUCCUCCUCGAAAGAGCCUUCCAAGAUGCGGUGCCCUCCAUCAGCAUAUUGCCACGCCUUUCUCUCCCAGGAUGCAUUGCUGGGAUGGAUGAACAGGGCCAUGCGAUAAAUCCUCUAACGUUGCCACGUCUGUGCUUUUGCCUCCUUUCCUCUCCGUUGUAUGGAGGAAGUUCUGACAGCUCACUUCAUUUCACGUGGUGUGCAAGCUUCUGUCAAACAACGGAACAAACUAUGAGAACCACUUCCAGCCACUGCUUCUGCACACUUCUCUGCUAAGUGAGUCUCUGCUGUGUGAGUCUCAUUGGUAAAACUACCCUGAUCUAACAUUCUGUUACCUCCUUUGUGGUCCAACACUCCAAGAGUCCACGGCCUCAGACGCCCCUGGGUUUCUGCUGAUGUAAAUUGGCAAAAACUUGCAUUCAGUGUGUAUGUGGCUCCUCUUGGGUCUCACUGUGUGUUUAUCCCUCUGCACCCAACUCUAGUCAUGGCUCUGGGAAUAAUGAGGGUCGGUGGAGGUGGAUCUCAAGGGAGAUCUGUCAUCUUGCAAGGCUGUUUCCUCAAGUGAAGCCAUCACAGAUCUUUGGGCACAGUUUUACUCACCUCAGACUCUAAGGAAGAGUCACUUCUGCUUACAGGGAGACUCAGGAAGGUCUAAUGUUCAGGGGACUCAGAGUCAGAGAAAUCCACCCUCUCCAGUUCUCGAGGUCUCAUUCUUUCCAAAUAAAUGCCUUAACUUUGACUUAAGAGAUUUAGUAAGACAUUUAAUUAUUCUUUAGUUGUAAUUCAUUAGCCUGCAAGAUCAAAUUUGUACUCUGCAUUUAAAAAAAAAAGUUGACUCUACAGCUACAAGAACUAAAAUGGUUUUUUUAGGACAGCUAUAGAAGGGCUCUGGUUCUCUGUCUAUACCUUCAGCUGAGCACUUAAGGCCACAGCUUGUCAUUUUCUUUGUCAGUUCCCCAGUGCAAUAAGCAGCAGCCACCCCAUGCCACAUCCUUGUAUGCAUGGUUUCCAUCCACAUCCUAAUGUCCUAUUGCAAGAGCCCCCUGGUGUCUGAAACCCAGGCUUGUGAUGGGCACUGCAUCGCAGAGACCUCAAGGUAAUGAUUUUACCAGUGACAAUGUUUAUAGAUUAUCUGCAUCCUGCUUCCCACUCCUCACGUGGUCCUCACUGACAUCAGACAAAACCUGGUCUGUCCAAUUACUAACUCCAGAUUCCCAUCUUCAAGGUUCUGCCUUCCUGGAAACACUGCUGGUACCAGGAAUGGUUGGUCGGGAACACUAAAGUCACUCUAGGUAUUUUGGGUAGAAGGAGAUUCAUUGCAGGGAACUCUAGGCUUACAGAAAUGUUGAGAACUUUGGGGACUGAAGGUUAUUUCAGGAGAUCUGGAAGUGCAGGGAUAGAAGGGUAGCAUCCAUUGCCCCCUGAUAACUGUACCACUGACAUGGCUAGAAACCACCCCAGUGAUCCCAGCUGCUUGUAGCACCUCAGGGUGAUUCUCAAACUGACUCCAGAAGCCAAGGUACACUGCUGCCAAUGACUGCAGGGGCCUCUGCAAAACGGACGUUGAUGAAUGAAACAAAGUGUGAUCUACCCAUAGCAGGGAAUGUUAUUCAUCCUUAAAAAGGAAGGAAAUCCUGCAGCUCACGCCUGUC
rnacentral:lncRNA from 1 species